rnacentral:rRNA from 1 species
AGCAUGUGGUUUAAUUCGAUGCAACGCGAAAAACCUUUACCCACCUUUGGCAUGUACGGAACCCUUUUAGAGAUAGAGGGGUGCUCGAAAGAGAGCCGUAACACAGGUGCUGCAUGGCUGUCGUCAGCUCGUGUCGUGAGAUGUCGGGUUAAGUCCCAUAACGAGCGAAACCCUUGUCCUUAGUUGCUAGCGGGUAAAGCCGAGGACUCUAAGGAGACUGCCGGUGUUAAACCGUGAGGAAGGUGGGGACGACGUCAAGUCAUCAUGGCCUUUAUGUCCAGGGCUACAAACGUGCUACAAUGGCCGGCAUAAAGGGAGGCAAAACCGUGAGGUGGAGCAAAUCUCAAAAAUCCGGCCCCAGUUCGGAUUGGAGGCUGCAAUUCGCCUCCAUGAAGUUGGAAUCGCUAGUAAUCGCGUGUCAGCUACAACGCGGUGAAUGUGUUCCUGAGCCUU